CUUUGUUUUUUGGUCGACUGUUUUUAACUCCUCCGUUCCUAGGUGUUACUCUUCCAUUUUUUCUUUCUAUAGCCAAUCUUUAUUUUUAGGCUGAAACUACAACCAACAGAACUGGUAUCAGAGCCCACCUAUUUCACGAAUCCAUCUCUCAAUCUAACUUCGAUCCACCUUGUUGUUUCCAAUUUAAUAUAAUCCACCUCUUCUUUUCAAGCCCUCUUAUCUCUUACAACAUGCCUCUUGUGUAUGGAAAUUUCAGAAAUUUCCUCUAUUUUAGAGAUGGAGGAUACUAGGGUUUCUUUUAAUCUGAAGGCCCAAAUCCAAACCUACAAUACGACUGAAUUGGUGGUCAUUGAAGCAUCAAAAUUUGAAGGCAAACAAGGAAAGAGAAAACGAAGAACAAUUGGUGUUGUUGCUGUGCAAUCAGAUUGUGUAGCUAGAAACCAUCAAUCUUGAAGUAGACGGCCAAGGAUUUGAAGAGUAGAUCAAUGGCUAGCUCAAGUGUUGCAACAGGAUGACCAAGUUGAGAAUGCUAAAGCUCAAUCGUGGAAUUUGAAGAUGAAAAGUUGUUGAGGCUAGAGAACAUGCCUGUAGUGGAGCUAAAAUUGGUAGGAAAUUUAUACAAUCCUCGUUCGAGAUGACCUUUGAGAAGAACUUUCUUGGUAACCUGUUCUUUGACAAGAAAGAACUGAGAGCAAAUGUAUUGUUGUCAGCACAGAAUUGAGAGACACUAACAAGAUUGGUUGCAAGAUGAGGAGCAUGAAGAACUCUUUUUAAUUGAAACACUUUAAAAGGAAACUGAAAAAUUUUAGUACCCGUAUGAAGAAUGGGAAAUUGUGUACCAUUCCCGAUUGUCACCUUGUCAUUGCCAUUAUAUGAUUGUUUAUUGUCCAGAGAGGUGGUAGUUUGAGAAAGAUGAUGGGUGGCGCGAGUAUCAAAGAACCAUUCCUUACUCUUUAUGUUAAUAGAAGAUGCAAUCACAACAUGGGCUUAAUCUCGAUUUCUGUUAGUUGCAUGGGGCUUAGAUUCAGAGUUGGUAUUUACCCUUUGGAAGUUUAUAUCAAAACGAUGAUAGCAUUGGACCACACUAUGUCCAGACUUUCUACAAAGUUUACUUUGUGGGUGAUUUUGAGAGACCAAGUUUCUAUUGCCAUGAGAGUUGCGUUCGGAGUUGACUAUUCUGCUAUUGUUUCCUGAGGAAUUUCGAUUGGAAUUCCUUCUGUUGUUGUGGUGAUUUGAUGACGUGGUAGUGAGAUUUGUAGAGAUUACAUUGUUUUCUGUCGAAUUCUGAAGAUUUAGGCACUGUUGAUAGGUUAACAGAAUAUUGUGCACCGUAUGCAGUGAAACUUCAUCUUCUCUUGCUACAAGAGAGGCCACAAUGGAAUUGUAUUCCACACCAAGCCCUCCAAGCAGUUGCAGAAUAUGAUCUCUGUCGUAUACCAGUUCUCCAAUGGCAACUAAGUGGUCAGUCAGAUUCUUCAGCUUGAGAUUGUAAUCCAUCAUUGAAAGGGAUCCUUUCUUCGUGGUUUGAAAUUCUAGUUGUAAUUGCAUCACCCAAGCUUUGGAUGAAGCUGAGAAGAUCUUUUCCAGAGCAGACCAUGCUUCAUGGGAGAUUUGAUACACUUUUAUUUGACCCAUAAUUUCUGGAGUAAGUGAGGAGUAGAUCCAACUAAGGAUCAUUCGGUCAAAUCUUUUCCAAAGAAUAAACUCUGGAUUUGUUUCACCAUUGCUUGUUGUUUUUGAAGGACAGACUGUCAAACCUUCAAUGUGGUCUUCAAAGCCGUUUGCAAAGUUCACAUUCUCCAGUUGUGUUUUCCAACACAGGUAGUUUAUCUUUAUCAAGUUUAAUGGGCAGUGCAUGAUUCAACAUCUGCAUUGAUUGAGUUAUGGCUGAGGACGAAUUUGCAGCUCUAGCUUGUAUCCGAGAAGACUGAGUUGAGAUUGCCAUGGUGGAACCAUGAAACUGAUGCGAAGAGAAGGAAAUACGGGGUGGCUCUGAUACCAUGUAAGUUUGUAUCAGGAGAAUGCAAAUUUAAUUUCUGUAUAUUGAGAUGAAGAAUUACAUGUUCA